AAGGUGCCGCAGCAAUGCGGUCUCAGCAAAGAGUCCCUCCCGACUGUUUACCAAAAACACAGCACUUUGCCAACUCGUAAGAGGAAGUAUAAGGUGUGACGCCUGCCCGGUGCUCGAAGGUUAAGAGGAUGCGUCAGUCGCAAGAUGAAGCGUUGAAUUGAAGCCCGAGUAAACGGCGGCCGUAACUAUAACGGUCCUAAGGUAGCGAAAUUCCUUGUCGGUUAAAUACCGACCUGCAUGAAUGGCGUAACGAGAUGGGAGCUGUCUCAACCAGAGAUUCAGUGAAAUUGUAGUGGAGGUGAAAAUUCCUCCUACCCGCGGCAAGACGGAAAGACCCCGUGGACCUUUACUACAACUUAGCACUGCUAAUGGGAAUAUCAUGCGCAGGAUAGGUGGGAGGCUUUGAAGUAAGGGCUUUGGCUCUUAUGGAGCCAUCCUUGAGAUACCACCCUUGAUGUUUCUGUUAGCUAACUGGCCUGUGUUAUCCACAGGCAGGACAAUGCUUGGUGGGU
rnacentral:rRNA from 1 species